rnacentral:lncRNA from 1 species
AUGUAGUCAUGCUUCAAGUUCUGUCAAUGAAUGUGUUUUUCUGUCCUCGGGGGAGGUUAUAAAUAAUUAGAUCUUGAAGUGAUAGCAUACUGUGCCAAGGAUACUGUAUGACUUAUAUUAUUUAUACUAUGCGUUAGUGCUCUAGAUAUUUAUAAUUAGAUAUUGAAGUGAUAGCAUACUUCCCAUUUGCUAUAUUCACAAGAGAUGUGCUGAUUUUCUUGCAAAAUUAUAUAAUAGAGAAGACCAGUUAUUUAUUUUUUACAAGUCUUUUCCCUUAGCUGGAUAGAUUAUUAUCCCAGGAUGCUGCAGGUACAUUGUACUCUAGGAUGUAUAGGGGGAGCCUGCCUACUCCAGGGAAAUUGCCUUUAUUUUCUUUCCCAACAUAUUAGAUCUGAUUAAUUCCUAUUCCGUGAACGCCUUGUCCAGUGAAUGGUUUGUGUGAAUAAUAUUGCUAUUGCCUAUUGGACUAGUCCAUCUCUGAAAUUCACAGUUCUGAACCUGAAAGAGCGAAUUUGGACUAUGAUAGCACCAUAGAUGGAGAUGCUUGUUGAGGUGGAUUUCUUAAUUACUUUACUUAUUUUGCUGAUCUUCCUAAUUUCCGUUUUGCUUCCUCUAAGAUUUGGUCCUCUGCUUUGAAUGAGCUUAUAAAAUCAAAUGUAGCCAUGUAGGAGACACGCACAGUGUCAUUUAUAAUUAAAACACUUUUUAACUCACGACUCGAGUCGAGAGAAUGACUGUGUAGAGGAUAGUGUAGUAUUGCAAGACUUCUUAUUCAUCCUUUGCCUAAGUGCAAUAAAUUUCAAUAAGCUACUUUGUAUAGCAUGAUCUUCUCAAUUGUUUUGUUGCAUUACGAAUGGCAUUUUGUAUUCUUAUGGCAUAGCAUCAUAUAAAAUCUGAUUUUGUGAAUGUUUUGUCCAAUGUUUAGUUUGAGUUUCUAAUAUAGUUAUUCUUUACAGACUAGUGCAUCUCUGAAAUUCACAGUUCUGAACCCGAAAGGGCGAAUUUGGACUAUGGUCGCAGGAGGAGGUGCAAGUGUUAU